AGAGUUUGAUCAUGGCUCAGGACGAACGCUGGCGGCGUGCUUAACACAUGCAAGUCGAACGGUAAGGCCCCUUUCGGGGGUACACGAGUGGCGAACGGGUGAGUAACACGUGGGUAAUCUGCCCUGCACUUCGGGAUAAGCCUGGGAAACUGGGUCUAAUACCGGAUAUGACUCCUGGCCGCAUGGUCUGGGAGUGGAAAGUUUUUCGGUGCAGGAUGAGCCCGCGGCCUAUCAGCUUGUUGGUGGGGUAAUGGCCUACCAAGGCGACGACGGGUAGCCGGCCUGAGAGGGUGAUCGGCCACACUGGGACUGAGACACGGCCCAGACUCCUACGGGAGGCAGCAGUGGGGAAUAUUGCACAAUGGGCGGAAGCCUGAUGCAGCGACGCCGCGUGGGGGAUGACGGUCUUCGGAUUGUAAACCCCUUUCAGUAGGGACGAAGCGCAAGUGACGGUACCUGCAGAAGAAGCACCGGCUAACUACGUGCCAGCAGCCGCGGUAAUACGUAGGGUGCGAGCGUUGUCCGGAAUUACUGGGCGUAAAGAGCCCGUAGGCGGUUUGUCACGUCGUCUGUGAAAUCCCUCGGCUUAACCGGGGGCGUGCAGGCGAUACGGGCAGACUUGAGUACUACAGGGGAGACUGGAAUUCCUGGUGUAGCGGUGAAAUGCGCAGAUAUCAGGAGGAACACCGGUGGCGAAGGCGGGUCUCUGGGUAGUAACUGACGCUGAGGAGCGAAAGCAUGGGUAGCGAACAGGAUUAGAUACCCUGGUAGUCCAUGCCGUAAACGGUGGGCGCUAGGUGUGGGGUCCCUCCACGGACUCCGUGCCGUAGCUAACGCAUUAAGCGCCCCGCCUGGGGAGUACGGCCGCAAGGCUAAAACUCAAAGGAAUUGACGG
rnacentral:rRNA from 1 species